rnacentral:rRNA from 1 species
UACGAAGGUCCCGAGCGUUGUUCGGAAUCACUGGGCGUAAAGGGAGCGUAGGCGGCGUGGUAAGUCAGACGUGAAAUCCCGGGGCUCAACCCCGGAACUGCGUCCGAUACUGCCGUGCUUUGAGGGUUGGAGAGGUAGCUGGAAUUCUUGGUGUAGCAGUGAAAUGCGUGGAUAUCAAGAGGAACACUCGUGGCGAAAGCGAGCUACUGGACAACACCUGACGCUGAGGCUCGAAGGCCAGGGGAGCGAA